rnacentral:rRNA from 1 species
UACGUAGGGUGCAAGCGUUAAUCGGAAUUACUGGGCGUAAAGCGUGCGCAGGCGGUGAUGUAAGACAGAUGUGAAAUCCCCGGGCUCAACCUGGGAACUGCAUUUGUGACUGCAUCGCUGGAGUACGGCAGAGGGGGAUGGAAUUCCGCGUGUAGCAGUGAAAUGCGUAGAUAUGCGGAGGAACACCGAUGGCGAAGGCAGUCCCCUGGGCCUGUACUGACGCUCAUGCACGAAAGCGUGGGGAGCAAACAGG